rnacentral:rRNA from 1 species
ACCGUGGUAAUUCUAGAGCUAAUACAUGCUAAAAAUCCCGACUCACGAAGGGAUGUAUUUAUUAGAUUAAAAACCAAUGCCCCUCGGGGCUUACUGGUGAUUCAUAAUAACUUCUCGAAUCGCAUGGCCUUGCGCCGGCGAUGGUUCAUUCAAAUUUCUGCCCUAUCAACUUUCGAUGGCAGGGUCUUGGCCUGCCAUGGUUACAACGGGUAACGGAGGGUUAGGGCUCGACCCCGGAGAAGGAGCCUGAGAAACGGCUACUACAUCCAAGGAAGGCAGCAGGCGCGCAAAUUACCCAAUCCCGACACGGGGAGGUAGUGACAAUAAAUACUGAUACAGGGCUCUUUUGGGUCUUGUAAUUGGAAUGAGUACAAUUUAAAUCCCUUAACGAGGAACAAUUGGAGGGCAAGUCUGGUGCCAGCAGCCGCGGUAAUUCCAGCUCCAAUAGCGUAUAUUAAAGUUGUUGCAGUUAAAAAGCUCGUAGUUGAACCUUGGGCCUGGCUGGCCGGUCCGCCUCACCGCGUGCACUGGUUCGGCCGGGCUUUUCCCUCUGGGGAGCCCUAUGCCCUUCACUGGGUGUAGUGGGGAACCAGGACUUUUACUGUGAAAAAAUUAGAGUGUUCAAAGCAGGCCUAUGCUCGAAUACAUCAGCAUGGAAUAAUAGAAUAGGACGUGUGGUUCUAUUUUGUUGGUUUCUAGGACCGCCGUAAUGAUUAAUAGGGACAGUCGGGGGCAUCAGUAUUCAAUUGUCAGAGGUGAAAUUCUUGGAUUUAUUGAAGACUAACUACUGCGAAAGCAUUUGCCAAGGAUGUUUUCAUUAAUCAGGAACGAAAGUUAGGGGAUCGAAGACGAUCAGAUACCGUCGUAGUCUUAACCAUAAACUAUGCCGACUAGGGAUCGGACGAUGUUAUUUUUUGACUCGUUCGGCACCUUACGAGAAAUCAAAGUUUUUGGGUUCUGGGGGGAGUAUGGUCGCAAGGCUGAAACUUAAAGAAAUUGACGGAAGGGCACCACCAGGAGUAAACCGCAGUCGCUCUGCUCCUAAAAGCUAUCCGAGAGGAUUAGGUGGUUGUUCCUACAGCUAGUCAGCGCUCGCUCGCUGGCGACACCCUCAAAUUGCGGGGAACUCCUAAAGCACCAACUACCGCGGCCUCGUCGAAAGACGGAGGUGCAGCACCGGGUUAACGACCUUGGGGAUGGUAAAAACGUUGGUGAUGCUAUAAUGGACAAUCCGCAGCCAAGCUCCUGAGUUCAACGGAGAAGGUUCAGAGACUUAACGGGGGUGGGUAGGUCAUGUUUAUGCAGUCCUGCCUAAGAGAAAGUCCGGGGACUGAAACCGAAAGGUCUGUCCGCGACUCGGCGCUGAAGUAUUCGGCUUUAGCGCUCCAGGUCCCUACAACGGGAGCCUGCGGCUUAAUUUGACUCAACACGGGGAAACUCACCAGGUCCAGACACAAUGAGGAUUGACAGAUUGAGAGCUCUUUCUUGAUUUUGUGGGUGGUGGUGCAUGGCCGUUCUUAGUUGGUGGAGUGAUUUGUCUGCUUAAUUGCGAUAACGAACGAGACAUUUACCUGCUAAAUAGCCCGUAUUGCUUUGGCAGUACGCUGGCUUCUUAGAGGGACUAUCCGCUUAAGCGGGUGGAAGUUGGAUGCAAUAACAGGUUAACCAUGUGUUAUAUAUAUCACAGGCCUGUAAAAGUGGUUUCGACUGCUAGUCUAGCACCUUUGUUCUCUUAGGGGAUGCCCCCAGAUAUCGGGAGAGAAAGCAAGGAAACUUGCGUGGUGCAGGCGACACCAGCUGGUACAGGGAACGCCUAAUGCCUUUUUCACAAGGUAUGGCCGAUCCUGUGGCGAGCCCAGGUUGCUCUGGGCCGUUGCAACGCGCGCAAAGCGGUGGACCUAUAUGGUUUAAGGUACGUGCUAAACACUUGAGUAAUCAAGUCCUUGUAAUUAGACCCGAUAUGUCGAAGUACAAGGAGGUCGUAGCUGCUACGACUGGUAAGAAUAGCGGAGGCGAAGUUCGCCUCCAGCUAUACAAAAUGCUGUGAUGCCCUUAGAUGUUCUGGGCCGCACGCGCGUUACACUGACAGAGACAGCGAGUACUUCCUUAGUAGAGAUACUUGGGUAAUCUUGUUAAACUCUGUCGUGCUGGGGAUAGAGCAUUGCAAUUAUUGCUCUUCAACGAGGAAUUCCUAGUAAGCGUAAGUCAUCAACUUGCGUUGAUUACGUCCCUGCCCUUUGUACACACCGCCCGUCGCUACUACCGAUUGAAUGGCUCAGUGAGGCUUCCGGACUGGCCCAGAGGAGUCGGCAA